AUGAACUCUCAAGUUUCUCGGAGUCCAGAGGGAAAUUGGAUAGCCCCUCUGCCUUUUAAAGCAGAAAAACCCACUUUGCCAAACAACAGGCAUGUGGCAGAAAAAAGACUCUGGUCACUGAAGAAGAAGAUGCAGAAAGACCCCAAGGUAAAAGAGCAAAUCGUUGGCUUUAUGGAAGACAUGUUCCAAAGUAACUACGCCGAGGUCUCUGAUCAAAGUGAGGUCAAUGAAGAACAUUGGUUCCUGCCUUUCCAUAAAGUCACACAUCCCCAAAAGCCUAACAAGGUCCGGAUUGUCUUUGACGCCAGUGCCGCAUGCCAAGACAUUUCACUUAACAAUGUUUUGUUAAAGGGACCAGAUCUUCUCAACAGUUUGCUCGGCGUCAUCUUGAGAUUCAGAGAGAAAGAGUUUGCUGUCAUUGCGGACAUCCACAAAAUGUUCUAUGCCUUUUUAGUUCGCCCUGAUCAUCGCAGGUACCUCAAGUUCCUUUGGUACGCGGACACUCAAAAUCUGUGCGACGUUCGGGUUUUUCAGAUGCGCGUACACGUCUUCGGAAAUACCCCGUCUCCAGCUGUUGCAAACUAUUGCCUCAAAAGAACUACAGAUGAGUUUGGACACCAGUUCAGUCUAGAAGUUGCCAGCAUAGUUAACCACAACUUCUACGUGGAUGAUCUUCUGGUUUCGUUCGAGUCCGUCCAUCAAGCCAUCCAAAUAGUACGCGAGGUACAGUCUUUGUUAAAGGGUGCCAACAUCCACCUGCACAAACUGUUGUCUAACAACAGACAAAUUUUGCAAGCUUUCCCCUCGGAAGAUCUAGUGGAAAGCAACGUUCAUGAACUAUUUAAAGAGUUAAGCUCCCAAUCAAGCUUAGGACUUCUUUGGGAUGUGAAGUCAGACCAUCUUUCCUUGAGAGCGUCUAAAUUUCAGUUUGUGAACACUAAGAGGCAAAUGCUUUCUGCUAUCAACGGAGUAUUUGACCCCUUAGGCAUAGCCUCCCCUGUCCUGAUCACCGCUAAACUUCUGUUCAGGCAGGUAAUUCAAGAGAAGAUAGGAUGGGAUCAAGAGCUGACCCCAUCGGUGAAAGCAGCUUGGGCAAAUUGGACUUCUCAAGCUGAAGGACUGGAAACCAUCACAGUUCCCAGACAAUUUGUUCCCUGCAAGGCGAUGAUAGAACCCACCACAGAACUUCACAUCUUCUGUGAUGCAUCGGAACGAGCCAUAGCAGCUGUGGGAUACAUGCGGCAAAGGGACAUGAAUUACUGCCACGUUGGGUUCAUCAUGGCAAAAGCCAAAAUAGCUCCUAUGGGAACUUCAAUACCCCAGCUGGAAUUGUGUGCAGCAGUUCUUGCUGUCCAGCUCUGGCGCAUCAUCCAGCAAGAGAUAGGAGACUUGUUUCAAGAUGUCCAUUUCCACACAGACAGUACAGUUGUGCUUGGUUACAUCAACAACACAACCAAAAGAUUCAAAGUAUACGUAGCAAAUAGAAUUAACAACAUUCUAUCUAGCUCCACACCUAGCCAGUGGCAUCAUGUUGCCACAAAUGACAACCCAGCCGACAUCGCUUCUAGAGGAGCAUCAGCUCAACGAGUUUUAAGAUCCAGUUGGUUGAUGGGUCCCCGAUGUUUAGCGGAUGUCUACUUCCCGUUGGUAUUUUCACCUUCGGAAAGCAUAGAAUUACCAGAGUCUGUUCCAGAAAUAACAGCCUGCAAGACCACCACUGCAAUCAAGACAGGCCAAAGAUCUUACCUGGACCUGCACCGCUUUGAGCAUUUUUCAGAGUGGCGCAGUCUUCAGAGAGCAGUUGCUAGGCUCAUACAUUGCUUAGUCUGCAAAGAUAGUCAGCCUUUGCAAGUUCAGGACAUGCUGAAGGCUAAGGAAGUAAUACUCAGGUCAGUUCAGAGGCAUGAGUUUAGUCUAGAAAUAGCCAGGUUAGAACAAGGGCUUAACACCCCCAGCCGGAGUUUCUUGCGUGAGCUGAACCCAUUUCUGGAUAAAGAGGGCAUUUUAAGAGUGGGAGGGAGGUUAGCUAAGGCUAAACUCAAAGUGUGUAUAAAGAACCCCAUCAUUGUACCCCCCCAAUAG
rnacentral:lncRNA from 1 species